CACAGCCCCUAGGGCCAGCCUCUCAGGACACAGAGCAGGGCAGGAAAGAGUUGUGGGGAGGUGGAGAGAACAGAAGAGGCCGGCAGCCCCCCUGGGAAUCGCUGCUGCCCAGCACACUUGCCGCCUGAAGCCAGAGUGCGUUGGGGACAGGGCAGGGCCUGGAGGGACAGCAGGACUCGCUGUUCUGGGCAAGGGCUCACUUGCGUCCUUUCUGGCCUGCAGUCUCCGUGAGCAUCAACAACCUGUACCCGGGCUGCGAGAACGUGAGCGUGAGGAGCCGCAGCAUGAUGUUCGAGCCGGGCCUCACCAAAGGGAUGCUGGAGGUGUUCAUGGCCCCGUCCCACCACCCGCACUGCUCGGCCGAUGACCAGUCCACCAAGGCCAUCGACAUCCAGAACGCCUAUUUGAACGGAGUUGGCGAUUUCAGCGUGUGGGAGUUCUCUGGAAAUCCUGUGUACUUCUGCUGUUAUGACUAUUUCGCUGCAAAUGAUCCCACGUCAAUCCAUGUCAUUGUUUUUAGUCUAGAAGAGCCCUAUGAGAUCCAGCUGAACCAAGUGAUUUUCUGGCUCAGUUUCCUGAAGUCCCUCGUCCCAGUCGAAGAACCCAUAGCCUUUGGUGGGAAGCUGAAGAACCCACUCCGAGUUGUCCUGGUGGCUACCCAUGCUGACAUCAUGAACGUUCCUCGCCCAGCUGGAGGCGAGUUUGGAUAUGACAAAGAUACAUCGUUGCUGAAAGAGAUCAGGAACAGGUGAGGGGGGCUGCUGGGUCUCCAGCCCAGGUGACAGCCUACUACCCAAGGAACCGAAUCAGGGGUGUGAAAAAUACAACAGAACUCACAUGAACUACAGAAAGGAAUUAAAGACCUUUUUCCUUGGUUGACUUUUUUGUUGUAUGGGUUGAGUAUCUGUUAUCCGAAAUGAUUGAGACCAGAAGUGUUUUAGAUUUCAUAUUUUUUUGGCUUUUAGGAAUAGUUGCAUAUACAUAAUGGUUGAACGUCCACAACAGGAAAAUUCUAAAUCUGAAAUGCUCCAGUGUGCAUUUCCUUUGAGCAUCAUGUUGGUGCUCAAAAAGUUUUCAGAUAUUGCAACAUAACAGAUUUCAGAUUUCCCAAUAAGAGAUGCACAACCUCUAUUUUUUGUUAUCAAAGCAGUAAAUCCACAUAAUAACAAAUACAAGCAAAACACACUUGAUGAAAAGCAGCAGUCCUCUACCUUUUCCUCCCCUCCCAGCACCACUGCCCAGAGAAAGCUUCUAGCUGUUUUAGGUUUCAGUGCUUUCCAUGAUUAUGACGAUAAUGCAAAUCAGUAUUUCUCAAAAUAUAAGUUAUAAUCCACUAAUGGGACAUGAGAUCCAUUUAGGGGACCAUGACCAACGCUUUUUUAUUUUUAUUUAUUUUUCCAUGUGACCUCAUUUACAGAUAUCUUUUUUUAAGUGAGAUGGGAUGGAAUGGAAUAGAAUAGGAUAGAUGAGAGUACGUUUCAUUUCAUUUAUAAAACUUUUUUCACUUAUCAAUAUGGGUGUGUAUGGGGUCAUGAUAUAAAAUACAUAUUUUUACUUUGAGUCUAUCAAAGNNNNNNNNNNNNNNNNNNNNNNNNNCACGCUGUAAUGUUGUGCACGCCUAG
rnacentral:lncRNA from 1 species